rnacentral:rRNA from 1 species
AUUGAACGCUGGCGGCAUGCCUAACACAUGCAAGUCGAGCGGAGCGGCGGACGGGUGAGUAAUGCCUAGGAAUCUGCCUGGUAGUGGUGGAUAACGUCCGGAAACGGGCGCUAAUACCGCAUACUAUCAGAUCAGCCUGGGUCGGAUUAGCUAGUUGGUGGGGUAAAGGCCUACCAAGCCGACGAUGCGUAACUGGUCUGAGCGGAUGAUCAGUCACACUGGAACUGAGACACGGUCCAGACUCCUACGGGAGGCAGCAGUGGGGAAAGUUGGACAUUGGGCAAAAGCCUGGUCCAGCGAUGCCGCGUGUGUGAAGAAGGUCUUCGGAUUGUAAAGCACUUUAAGUUGGGAGGCGUUACCAACAGAAUAAGCACCGGCUAACUUCGUGCCAGCCGCCGCGGUAAUAC